UACGUAGGGGGCGAGCGUUGUCCGGAUUUAUUGGGCGUAAAGAGCGUGUAGGCGGCCAGGUAGGUCUGCUGUGAAAUCUCGGGGCUUAACCCCGAGCCUGCAGUGGAUACGGGCAGACUAGAGGUAGGUAGGGGAGAAUGGAAUUCCCGGUGUAGCGGUGAAAUGCGCAGAUAUCGGGAGGAACACCGGUGGCGAAGGCGGUUCUCUGGGCCUUACCUGACGCUGAGGAGCGAAAGCGUGGGGAGCGAACAGG
rnacentral:rRNA from 1 species